ACAUUCAUCCAUCCAACAAGAAAUGAUACUAAGCAUUCAUUCAUCCAAAGAGACAUAAUAAUAAACAUUCAUACAACCAAAGGGAUAUGAUAAUAAACAUUCAUCCAAAGAGACAUGAGUAGAAAGGAAACAACCUCAUUCAUAUACACCAAAAUAGAAGUUACAAGAGUCAUAAAGAGCAUAAAGCUCUCAUACAUCCAAUCUAUAAAAUAUAACUAAGUAAUCUAAUACAAAAUAAAGUCAGGG
rnacentral:lncRNA from 1 species